UCGACGGUGAGGGGUGAAAGCUGGGGGAGCAAACCGGAUUAGAUACCCGGGUAGUCCCAGCUGUAAACUAUGCAAACUCAGUGAUGCAUUGGCUUGUGGCCAAUGCAGUGCUGCAGGGAAGCCGUUAAGUUUGCCGCCUGGGAAGUACGUACGCAAGUAUGAAACUUAAAGGAAUUGGCGGGGGAGCACCACAAGGGGUGAAGCCUGCGGUUCAAUUGGAGUCAACGCCAGAAAUCUUACCCGGAGAGACAGCAGAAUGAAGGUCAAGCUGAAGACUUUACCAGACAAGCUGAGAGGUGGUGCAUGGCCGUCGCCAGCUCGUGCCGUGAGAUGUCCUGUUAAGUCAGGUAACGAGCGAGAUCCCUGCCUCUAGUUGCCACCAUUACUCUCAGGAGUAGUGGGGCGAAUUAGCGGGACCGCCGCAGUUAAUGCGGAGGAAGGAAGGGGCCACGGCAGGUCAGUAUGCCCCGAAACUCUGGGGCCACACGCGGGCUGCAAUGGUAACGACAAUUGGUUUCGAAUCCGAAAGGAUGAGGUAAUCCUCAAACGUUACCACAGUUAUGACUGAGGGCUGCAACUCGCCCUCACGAAUAUGGAAUCCCUAGUAACUGCGUGUCAUUAUCGCGCGGUGAAUACGUCCCUGCUCCUUGCACACACCGCCCGU
rnacentral:rRNA from 1 species